rnacentral:rRNA from 1 species
UACGUAGGGGGCAAGCGUUGUCCGGAAUCAUUGGGCGUAAAGAGCGCGUAGGCGGCCCUGUAAGUCCGCUGUGAAAGUCAAGGGCUCAACCCUUGAAUGCCGGUGGAUACUGCAGGGCUAGAGUCCGGAAGAGGCGAGUGGAAUUCCUGGUGUAGCGGUGAAAUGCGCAGAUAUCAGGAGGAACACCGGUGGCGAAGGCGGCUUUCUGGGCCUUACCUGACGCUGAGGAGCGAAAGCUGGGGGAGCGAACAGG